GAGAAUAUACUUUUAGGGAUCAUCUCUACAGUUCAUUACUAGAAAAGUUUCUCUGAUUAUGUAGAGCACUUGAAACCAUGAGAGGAGCCAGAGGGUCAUCUCCUGAGCAUGAAAACUGUUCUGGGUGUUGCUUUUGCAGCUGCCUUUUACCAUUGAUGAUCAUUUUCCUCUUCUCAGGAGAGGGAGAAGAUAGAGACUGA
rnacentral:snoRNA from 1 species